rnacentral:tRNA from 1 species
GGGGCUGUGGCGAAAUGGCAGACGCGCUUCCCUUGGAGUGAGCCUAAGCUUGGGCUUAGACCCAGUCUAAGGGAGUGGGGCGCAAGCUCCGUGAGGGUUCGAGUCCCUCCGGCCCCACCA